rnacentral:rRNA from 1 species
GCCUACGGGACGCAGCAGUGGGGAAUAUUGCACAAUGGGCGAAAGCCUGAUGCAGCAACGCCGCGUGAAGGAAGAAGGCCUUCGGGUCGUAAACUUCUGUCCUUGGGGAAGAAGAACUGACGGUACCCAAGGAGGAAGCCCCGGCUAACUACGUGCCCGCAGCCGCGGGAAUACGUAGGGGGCAAGCGUUAUCCGGAAUUAUUUGGCGUAAAGAGUACGUAGGAGGCAACCUAAGCGCAGGGUUUAAGGCAAUGGCUCCACCAUUGUUCGCCCUCCGAACUGGGCUGCUUGA